CACAAAUUCCAGCUACAAGGCAGAAACAUAAAAGAAUCUCUAUGUGGCUGCUUCAGUAAUAAAGUAAUUUGCUGAUAAAUUCAUCAGGAAAAGUGUACUACAGAGAACAGGACCCUUUUAGGUACUCGAAUGUUGCUCCAAAGUCUCUCUGGAACCUUCUCUUUUCCAGGAUGAACAACCUUAUCCUGGCUUCAUAGGAGAGGUGCUCUGGCCCACUGAUCAUCUUCAUAGACAUCCUCUGGGCAUGUCCAAUAGGUCCAUGUAUUUCUUGUGCUGGGGGAUUCCAGAGCUCAGCGCAUAACUCCAGGCCAUUUCUCAUGAGAGCAGAUAAGGUAAUUGCUUCCCUAAAC
ensembl:lncRNA